GACUGAAAACAGUCUUUUAGUUACACUACUGAACUCUGUUUUCCGUAGCUUUGUGUGUAUUGGAGCCAUUACCUUCCAAACUGUUACUGUUUUGUGGGUUGUAAUCCCUUCACCUUCCGAAAAAGAUAUGAGAAAUAAAGCAUACUCCUACAAUACCGUGUUAACUCUAAGUGCAGACUAGAAUACAGAUUGCCUUGGUCACAGUCCUUUCCAUGGACAUUCUAUAUGUCUGCCAGGUUAUAUCCUUUGUAAGUGUGCAUUAAUGGACAGAAUAGUGGACAUAAGAGCUUCAUUGCAAAAAAAUAAUUUCCACUUUCAGAAAUAGAAAUAGAUGUUUUAUAGCCUUCUUCUACAUCCAUAUCAUUGAAACCAGAACACAGACCAUGAUCAAGGCUAUGAGUCUCUAUGUAUUAUCAUCUUUUAUACUUCUUUCCUUUUCUCUUUGGAGUGUGAGCUGUUGUGUGCCUUUCUUUCCAUAGUGUUUAGUGCCUACUCAUUUGCUGGUACUGCAGGUAUCUUACUGCAGACCAAAGAUACUUCAGACCAAGAGAAACCUGCUCACUGUGCUCAUCAAAGUAGUUACCCUGAAAUUGAUGAGUCUUUCUACAUUUUGGUCUUACAUGCAGCCCGAAACUAACUUGUAUGAACAUACUCAAGUGCAUACAAAUAUUUGGGUGUGGGUCUCCCACUUCAGAGGUGAUGCUUUUCCUACUCAGGAUGCUGUGAAGACUUUGUGUUUCUGUGAAGCACUGCCACCUGGUUGAAUAGACAAUGAUAUUUGGGGUUUCUUGCAUUUAGGAGAGUCUCGUUAGGUGUCUGUAUCUGUUUCAUAGCUUACAGGUUAGAAUCGUAGAAUCAUGGGGUCAUCUAGACCACCUCCCUGCAAAGAACAUGAAUGCCUACAGCUAAAUCAGGUUGCUUUGAGCCCUGUCCAGCCUGACCUUGAAUGUCUCCAGGAACAAGGAAUCCACCACUUGGCAACCUGUUCCAGUAGACUACAGUAGUGCAUCCGGUAAAAAAAGAAAGCAAGCUCAAGUAAGAUGUGACAUGCACUGUCUUCACCUUCAAAAUAUAGCUUGCCCAUUGCUUGUUGUUUUAAGACAGCAUGAGGAGAAAAUACGACUCAAGAAAUUCCUUCUUGGGCAAACACAGUAUGGUAUAAACUAGUUUUUCCUGUUAUUCAUAUCCUCCUCUUUUAUUUUAUGCUGACACUCAGCAUGACAUAAGCCGUAGACGAAGUAUAUGCCAUCAACUAUUUACCUUCCCCUCCCUCUACAGAUCCUCCUGGAGGUAGUUGUUCAGAUUUAUGUGGUGAAUGCUGUCUGAAAUUCGGGUCACUGUUUGACAGUGUGCUGUAUUUUCUGUGCCUGCAGUUUUGCUAAAUUGUUCAUUUUUUCACAUUAUUUAGUUUCACGUUUUGUUGGACAAAGCAAUUUUGGAGAGAGCACUAUACUCUGAAAAUCAAUUAAAUUGCUAGCACUAGUAGCUUUGAGCUAUGUUUUUGCUUAAAUCGAGAAAAAAACUUUUCAAAGAGAGAAUCAGGGUGAGUUUUCAUGCAUGGAUCUUCUGAUACAUCCUUCCACUAAAGGGCAUGAUGGGAAGAAUCUGUGCAGUACCCUUGAGAGAUUCAUGCUCCACAAAUCCAGCUGUCUGUGAUGCCACUACAAGCUUGAACUUUCCACAUUGAAACUUGGGCAUGAGUACUAUUUUCCUGACCCCUUGCCUUUCUUUCUUGAAACCAAGCUGCUCUGCUGUUAUCUGUGAUCUUUGUGUGAGAAAGUUGUUUGACCCAACCAAAUAAGACCAAAGUGAAUAAAUCAGAGGUCUCCUGUGGGGACAGUGACAAGGUCAGCUAGAGGCAAGGAAAAUAAAGAUUAGAUCACUUAAUCUCAAUGUAUUCUUCAACAGUAAAACUUCGUUACUCAUCUACUACUUUGCCCUUGCAGAACAGCUGCUUGCUGAGGCAAUUGGAUAGGAGCUCAGUACUUUUGUGCUACAAAGAAUUAUACUCUGCGUACUUUAUUUCCAUUACGCUGACCAUUGGAUGUAAGAACCUUCAAAAAAAAUCCUAGUACAGAAAAAGAAAGUGUGAUUUAUUUCCUGCAUUCGUAUUUCAGUGAUUUCAACAUUUUUCUUUUACUCUUAGUUUUAUGAGCUUCUCUUUUCCCUAUAAAUUAUUGAUUUUGUAGACAAAUAACUACUCCACUGCCAGAAGUUAAACAUCAUUGGCUGCCAGGCACGUGAGCUGGCCCUCAGCUUCAGCUCUGAGAAUUGCUGAAGUAGAAUUUAUGAACAAUAGAAUUGAUAUUCUCUUUUCUUUUCUUUUUUUUUUUUUUUCAUGAAUACUUGCCAGUGUGGGUCAAAUACCCAGAGAGCAGACUUUGAAACACAAGUGUGUACUGAAACUAAAAAAUAGAAAUCAUCCCAGUGCCUUGACAGCUGCCUUUUACUGGAGAGCCUUUUACCUUGCUUCCUGCCAGAGUUUUGCUGUGUCACUUCAAGUUUCCUGCAGACGGCUGAGCAGGGUUGCUCCGUGUGGUCAGUGUCGCAGGGUGAGAAGAAGGGCUCCGGAGAGGUGGAAAACCCAGGGGGAAAAUGAGAAGCAGGAAACCAGUAGGAUUGGAUUGACAGGUGAACAAAAACUCAGUGACUCUCCUCCUGUUGCCCCUGCAUCCUGGUACGAUGUUUUGCACAUUGCAGAUCUUGGUUGUGUGUGAACUUGGGUCAGAUGGAAAGGAAGGGUUUCUGAUUAGAAUAAGGCUCCUCACUCAGACAGAAAGAAAACACAGCAUAGAAGCAUAGGCUCACUCACAUGUGUGACAGCUGUGGAUAACCGGGAAGAUUUCUGACAAGAUAGUUUUACAAUACAGCUCACCUGUCUAGAUGCAUGACUGGAGUGAGUGAUGUGAAUUGUAGAGAGCUCUUCAGUCCUCUGAAAGUGGAGGAAGAGAUGUAGAACAAGUCAGGUUACAGAUGUACUGCACAUAAAGCAGACAAAUCAAAGAAGAGUAAAGGAAAACCUACCUUAUCCAUGCACUGUUGGCUACGGGCCAGAUCUUCAGCCAAACUUUUUAAUGAUCCAUCUCUACAUGAGAAUUUUCUUGUGCUUAAAUUCAUGAUUACCUCCAAAUUUGAAGAUUCAAGGAAGAAAUUCUUUACUCAGAAGGCUGUGAGGCACUGUAACAGGUUGCCCAGAGAAGUUCUGGAUACCCUAACCCUGGAGGCGUUCAAGGCCACAGCUGGAUGAGCUGCGGGGAGCCUCAGCUGGUGGGUGGCAGCCCUGUCCACAGCAUGAGGUUGGGACUGGAUGAUCAUUAAAGUUUCUUUCAAUUUAAAACAAUAUGUAAUUCUAUGAAUACUGUUCAUGAGGUGUUAUUUAAAUACCGUAAUUGUGUUUAAACAACUUCUAUCAGGUCAGAGAGGGGGUCCCAGAAGGUAAGACGGAAUGUGAUUCUACAGGGUUUGUUGCUUUACAGUAACUGUUUUUGUUCAUGUUUUCACUCUGUAACACCCUGUUGAUUACACAGAGUCUUUCUCUAUUUAGCUUGGAAAUAACCCAGCAGUCUACAAUGUACAGAGUGUGCAUAUGUCUCUAGAUAACUGUAAAUAUGUUUUAUAUUUUUCUUUGCAGUACCUUCCUUAUAUGACAUUUUAGAUAGUAACAUAGUAAAAACCUAGAAAUUAUGUGGAAACUUAACUACUACUGGUAUGUAUUUUUUCAUUGCAUUUAUGAAGCGCCCUUUCCUUUUGCAAAUUACUGAUUUUGUUGGCAGCAAACUGUUAUCUUGUCAGAUAUUAAACCUCUGUGGCUGCCAGACAUGUGAGCUGGAUAUCAGCAUAAGCUCAAAGGAUCCCAGGGAUAAAAAAAAAAUAUUUGUGAACUUGGAAAGUGUGAAUCUCUGUAAGGGGGAGGACAGGAACUCUAUUUCUAAUUCUCUUGGAAACAGUCACCUCAGGGUGUGGUAAAAAAGCAGGGACUAUCAAUCUACAUCUGAUUUUGAUAUCAGAUUACUGUUCCUCAAAAGCUACUGGUGAACAUCAUGGUGACAGAAUUAUCUAUGGUUAGCCUCUUGGUGCCGCUGUGUGAAGUUUCCUCCCACUGUGUUGCUAGGUCAUUUGUCUUUAUCCUUGUGAUGUUGCUUGGGAACUUAUAGCAAAUAAGAGAACACUCGCCAACUGACUUUCAGCUCUUUCACCAGGUUCACUUGUUCAAUUCUUAUUCAUCACUUCAUACAUACCCACUUGAAAUUGCAUGUUGGUCUCUCAUGACUGAUAACACCUCCCUAAGCCAAUAUAUCUCCCCUGCCUUGAUGAUUCUGCUAAACAUAGUCAGCUGCAUUCCAUUGCCAGUGUUAUUGUAGGAAACAUAAGAAUUCAAGACUAGUUAUUACAGUUCAAGAAAAUGAAGCUCAGGAAAGAACUCAGCAUGAAUGAGAUUCAUCUCAUCCCAUGGCCUCCUAAAAAUUAGGCAUAUAUCAGACCUAGUUCUAUGAAGGGCCCUGUAUCUUUACUGGCAUGAAGAUGAUUUAUCUUAUCUGCCUUCAGCAACAGACCUGCCACUCUCCAUGCCUGGGUCCUCCUAAUCACAUAAUUAUUCUUCUACUGUAAUUUUCCUGUUAAUACUGAAGUAACUCUACAACAAUUUUGUAUUAGUAACUACGUGUUCUGGUAAAACUAACAUGCUCUGAGUUUUCAAAGUGUUUCUCACUGCAAAAGAUAAAAUCUAAACUCCUUUUUCAGUUGUCACCAAAGUUUGUGGAAAAGAAAGGAAACUGCACACAAAUGAAGAGAAGACAAUGUUAAAUGGGCAUGAUGUACCAAGGAGAAAGUACAGAAAGAGAUGAAAGGACAUGGCUGGAAGAGGUGUAGGAAGAAAAGCUAUUUUCCUCCUACUUCUGUAUUUUAAGAUUUCAGUAUUUAAUUAAACACUGAGUAUAAUAACCUGGUAAUAAUUGUAUUCUGAUCUAAUAAAGUCUUUGGUCAUCAGCCAUGAAUUCUAUUAGUCCAAGUAAUGCAUAUUGCCCUAUAAACAGAAUAUACCUUCAAGUUCUAAUUAUAAUGUGGUUCUUGAGUUGUUAAUUUCCACUACAGAAAAACUGCCAGGAAUGAGUUGAACUAAAACCAAAAGCCACAAGGUAAGUCAGCAUGAUUAAUAUGAUUAUGAAAAUGUCCACUUAGAUGUGUUUGUGUACACUGCGUUCAGCUAUCUAAAUAAGAGAAUCAGGUGUCUGUUUUUGAAGAUAUGAAAUAUUUUAUUCUCAUCAAAAUGUCAAAAUAAAAGACUGUGGUUUGUGCUGGCACUAUUUCUCUGAAAAAACAUUCAGGUACUUUUGUGUUUGGAUUGGCAUAUUCUUAAGUUUUUUGGGCUUAGGCAGUGUACUGUAUGAAUUAAGCAUAGUGGACACUCAGAUUUUUUUGGUUCAUCUCUUUAGUUUGCCUAUCUCAUUAUUUAAUGCAGGUGUUAAAGGAUAGUAAUUUCCCCCAUCUUUUUUUUUAUCUUUCAAUGGUGCUGAGGUCAUAUCUUCGUGAAGACUGCAUUUUUCCACUCAUAUCUGCUGCAGAACAGAUGAAUUUUGGUUACUCUUUAUUCAAGUAGUUUGCAAUAUGUUUUCAAAUAAUAGAUCUACAUGUAGUGCUCAUUAUCUAGGAAGAAUGUUGACUUGUAACAGUUUAGUGUUGUAAGUACUGUGUGCCUUAAAAUUGCUUCUCUGCAGAUAUAUUUGCUUCCAGUCUUAAAAAUGUAAAAACAACAAGUAAAAGAGGAAUUGCCUACAAAUGCAAAUAGAAUUAAAUCAUAUUAAAAAGUCAUUUUAUUCUCUGAUUGCAGAACUGGAUGCAGUCUCAUUUAUUCUUGAGUCAAGGUCAGGCACUGCACACUGAUUUCUUUCCAAAUGUCAGUGUGAGAACGCUGCAAACCCUACUAGGAAUCUAUCACCAUCGUUAUCUCCCUUUUAUUCAAAUAUAAUUCACACUGUUUGCAUCUUGACCCUUAAGAACAGUAUUCUUAAGAACUUUACACUUAAGAACA